UAAGGGCGCACGGUGGAUGCCUUGGCACUAGAAGCCGAUGAAGGACGUUACUAACGACGAUAUGCUUUGGGGAGCUGUAAGUAAGCUUUGAUCCAGAGAUUUCCGAAUGGGGAAACCCAGCAUGAGUUAUGUCAUGUUAUCGAUAUGUGAAUACAUAGCAUAUCAGAAGGCACACCCGGAGAACUGAAACAUCUUAGUACCCGGAGGAAGAGAAAGAAAAUUCGAUUCCCUUAGUAGCGGCGAGCGAAACGGGAAGAGCCCAAACCAACAAGCUUGCUUGUUGGGGUUGUAGGACACUCUAUACGGAGUUACAAAGGACGACAUUAGACGAAUCAUCUGGAAAGAUGAAUCAAAGAAGGUAAUAAUCCUGUAGUCGAAAAUGUUGUCUCUCUUGAGUGGAUCCUGAGUACGACGGAG
rnacentral:rRNA from 1 species